rnacentral:rRNA from 1 species
GACGAACGCUGGCGGCGUGCUUAACACAUGCAAGUCGAACGGAAAGGCCCCUUUGGGGGUCCUCGAGUGGCGCACGGGUGAGUAACACGUGAGUAACCUGCCCUUGACUUCGGGAUAACUUCAGGAAACUGGGGCUAAUACCGGAUAGGAAUCCUUGCUGCAUGGUGGGGGUUGGAAAGCUUCGGCGGUUUUGGACGGACUCGCGGCUUAUCAGCUUGUUGGUGGGGUAGUGGCUUACCAAGGCUUUGACGGGUAGCCGGCCUGAGAGGGCGACCGGCCACAUUGGGACUGAGAUACGGCCCAGACUCCUACGGGAGGCAGCAGUGGGGAAUAUUGCACAAUGGGCGGAAGCCUGAUGCAGCAACGCCGCGUGCGGGAUGACGGCCUUCGGGUUGUAAACCGCUUUCAGCAGGGGCGAAGCUUGUGGUGACGGUACCUGCAGAAGAAGCACCGGCUAACUACGUG